AACUCGGCAAAAUGACCCCGUAACUUCGGGAUAAGGGGAGCCUACGCGAGUAGGCCGCAGAGAAUAGUCUCAAGCGACUGUUUAGCAAAAACACAGGUCUAUGCUAAAUCGAAAGAUGAUGUAUAUGGGCUGACGCCUGCCCGGUGCUGGAAGGUUAAGGGGAAGUGUUAGAGCAAUCGAAGCACUGAACUUAAGCCCCAGUAAACGGCGGCCGUAACUAUAACGGUCCUAAGGUAGCGAAAUUCCUUGUCAGGUAAGUUCUGACCCGCACGAAUGGCGUAACGACUUGAGAGCUGUCUCAACAACAUACCCGGCGAAAUUGAAGUACUGGUAAAGAUGCCAGUUACCCGUGAUAAGACGGAAAGACCCCAUGGAGCUUUACUGUAACUUGAUAUUGAAUUUUUGUAUUACAUGUACAGGAUAGGUGGGAGACAGAGAACUAAUGCCGCCAGGUGUUAGGGAGUCGAUGUUGGGAUACCACUCUUGUAAUAUGAAGGUUCUAACCUGCACCCGUGAAUCCGGGUGGGGGACACUGUCAGGUGGACAGUUUGACUGGGGCGGUCGCCUCCUAAAAGGUAACGGAGGCGUUCAAAGGUUGGUUCAGCACGGACGGAAAUCGUGCAACGAGUGCAAACGCAUAAACCAGCCUAACUGCGAGACCGACAAGUCGAGCAGUAACGAAAGUUGGAGUUAGUGAUCCGGCGGUAUGAGAGUGGAAUUGCCGUCGCUCAACGGAUAAAAGCUACCCUGGGGAUAACAGGCUGAUCUCCCCCAAGAGUCCACAUCGACGGGGAGGUUUGGCACCUCGAUGUCGGCUCAUCGCAUCCUGGAGCUGUAGUCGGUUCCAAGGGUUGGGCUGUUCGCCCAUUAAAGCGGUACGCGAGCUGGGUUCAGAACGUCGCGAGACAGUUCGGUCCCUAUCUAUCACGGGCGUAGGAAAUUUGAGGAGAGCUGACCUUAGUACGAGAGGACCGGGUUGGACGUACCGCUGGUGCACCUGUUGUUCUGCCAAGGGCAUAGCAGGGUAGCUAAGUACGGACGGGAUAAACGCUGAAGGCAUCUAAGCGUGAAGCCCCCUUCGAGAUAAGAUUUCCCAUAGCGUAGGCUAGUAAGGACCCAUGAAGACUACAUGGUUGAUAGGCCGGAGGUGGAAGUGCAGUAAUGUAUGUAGCUGACCGGUACUAAUAGUCCGAGGGCUUGACCAA
rnacentral:rRNA from 1 species